rnacentral:rRNA from 1 species
GACAGAGGGUGCAAACGUUGUUCGGAAUUACUGGGCGUAAAGCGCGUGUAGGCGGUUAUGCAAGUCGGGUGUGAAAGCCCCGGGCUCAACUGGGGAGGGUCACGCGAUACUGAUCGACUCGAAGGCAGGAGAGGGUAGUGGAAUUCCCGGUGUAGUGGUGAAAUGCGUAGAUAUCGGGAGGAACACCAGUGGCGAAGGCGACUACCUGGCCUGUUCUUGACGCUGAGGCGCGAAAGCUAGGGGAGCAAACGGG